UGUUAUUGGAUUCAUAAUAAUUUAAAGAUUGUUAGUGGCAGAAAACGAAAUAAAGUGUUUGUGAUAAAUAAGGUAAUAUAGACACAAGAUGUAUAUCUUUUCUUAUAAUUUUCUAAACCAGUAAAAGUUGGUUAUUCCGAGUUUUCCUCUCUGACAGGGUUUUUUUGCAUUUACACGAGUAUGUUUUCAGGGAGAUUGAGACUUCACGAGGACGACGAAAUUCUUGGGGAUACUUUCUUUGGACUGUGUGCUAUGUUCGUUUGUGCCUGUGUGCUAUGUUCGUGAAGACAAUUAGAAACAUAGUCGUUUUGUUUGUUUAAUGAUCAUCUAUAUUAACCUUGUCCAGGUCAUGCACGCUGAUUUUUGGCAACAAUUUCCUUCCCUUUUUGACUUGUUUUUUCUUACACGAGCAGAUUGCUUUCACUACAAUUAAAUAUCCUUGCUUGCUUGCUUGAUUCUGGCUUAUAUGGGUGAAGCUGCUUAUCUCUCUAAACACAAAGUGGAUUUUCAGAGAAGCUUUUACAGAGCGAUUCCUGGUACGAUCUUUUUUUAUUGCUUCUCCCAAAUCCAAUUUAUUUGUUUGUACUUGUAUCUGGAAUUAAGUCUGCAUCCAUGGAACUAAAUUUGAAUUAUUUGAAGUCAAGAGAGUGUCACAUGUGAUUGAGAGGUUGUUUUGUGUUUCUCUUGUCAAAUGAGAUUGUAUUUGUCAUAUCAUAAAAUGCUUGCAUUUUAAACUAACAUGAGAUAUUGUUUUGAACUUCUUCAAUUUGUGCUCCUGAGCGGCAGAGACCAGCUGCUACUUCUUGCUAUUGUUUUCAACAUGCAUUUAUUUUUCUGAUUUUGCUAGAAUUUUUUGGAUUCUUCAUAUAAGAUUUUGCUCCAAGUGCUAGUGAAUUAGCUAAAAAUCUUUCUCAUGAGGAUCAGCUACUCUGAUCAACAUUGAAUGUCGAACUUCGUCUGCAAGUUCUUAAUGGUCUUCAAAGCCCAUAAUUUCCAGGCUUGGGAUCUUUGAUAGGGCUGGUCCUUUUUACAUUUUUAUUUCCAAUCUUUUCUAGUACAUAUGAUUUACCAGUAGGACUCUAGUCCUGCUAUCGGUUUAUUUUGUAAAAGGGAAGCAUGCUGCUGCUUAAUUUCUCAGUUUCGCCUGCUAUUGGUUUAUUGGUAAUUUGUCAUUUACCGGAGAUAAACUGGAUCUUGAUGGUUUCGUGCCUUCUUGUUGUGAUCGGCUUCAGGGACACGGAAAUGAUAGGCAAUGCAUAUGGUCUUGCAGUUAUCAUUGUAAUGUUUGUUACCACCUGCUUGAUGUUUCUUGUCAUUGUUAUGCUGUGGAAGCGGGGGGUAUUCUGGAAGCCUUUACUUUUGUAAUUGUUUUUGGAUUGCUCUGCUUGUCUUCCUGCCUGGUCGGAGUGGCCAAAGGAGGCUUGUCUUCCUGCCUGGUCACAGUGGCCAAAGGAGGCUUGCUCCCUCUCAUUUUCUCCCUGAUAGUUUUGUCUGUGAUGUACAUCUGGCAUUAUGUUACGUUACAAAAACAAUCAUUCGAGUCACAUAACAGAACGUCUUUGGAUAUGCUUCUUAGUCUGGGCACAACUUUGGUAUAAAUCGUGUUCGUGGUGCUGGCCUAGUCUAUACAAAUGUGCUGUCAGAGAUCCCACCAAUGUUUUCGCAUUUUGUCACCAGCUUUCCCGCCUUCCAUCAUGUCCUCAUAAUUGUAACAUUUCAGUACCUGACAAUUCCAAGAGUUUUCUGCCAAUCAGCGAUUUAUUGUAAGCCGGAUUGGUCCCCCCUGAGUUCCGUCUCCACCUGUGCAUUGUCAGGUUGCGAAGGAAGGAAGGACAGUCAUGCUUUUGAGACUAACCUGAUUGAAACUUUGGCAGAGUUCUAGCGGCACCAGAGUGAUGGUGAUGCUAGAGACUUGGGAAUGAAAUGACUCUACUUUAUCAGGAAUCAAACAUGUACUGGAUGAUGUUAGCACGGGAUACGGGACUUGAGAAUGGGUCUGGGGCUGGGUCAGAGACUAAACGCAAGAGAGUAAGAUUUUGUGGCGUGGGAAGUGUUAAAGGAAUUGGAGGAUCUGGAGGGUGCCAGGGAAGCUGGUAUGGCAUAUAUGAUGGGAAAUACUCAGUGUCUUGGCGAGGGAAACAUCAUCACAUGUGAAGAAAUUUGUCAUUAACAUUGCACAUGUUUUCUCGAGACAGAACUGUCGAAGCCAAUCCACAGCACUAGGGGUUCCUCAUACAUCUUUGAUUGAAGUAGGAAUGUGUUAUUAUGUUUAGUAUCAGCCUGAGAAAGGAUGAUACUAGUCCAUCCUGAACAAAUGAUAUUAGUCCAUCGUGCUGGCUUCUGCAGCCAAAAUGCAACAUUGAUUAGGCAGCCAUCUUGACAUGGUGUAUCUGGAAAAGGAUUUUGGGGUUGUGAGGGGUUCUAACCAAAGGAAAUGGGAGGAUUCUAACCAAAUGCAACAAAAGAAUUGGGGGUAUCCAUUGUAAACUAAGCGUAACAGAUAGGUUCAAAGGAUUUGAAUUGACUGAUCCAGUUCAACUGUUAUAGGAGCUUACAUGAUAAAGAUUCCUCAGAUUUAGAGGUAAGUUUCAAGAAUACACAGACUGGCUCAUAGUUUUUUUUA